rnacentral:rRNA from 1 species
CCCUGCCCUUUGUACACACCGCCCGUCGCUACUACCGAUUGGAUGGUUUAGUGAGUUCCACGGACUGGCGAUGUCGGAUUUACCUCUGGCAUUGUCGGGAAGUGGAUCAAACUUGACUAUCUAGAGGA